UGGUCAAGCUACAAAGGGCUCACGGUGGAUACCUUGGCACACAGAGGCGAUGAAGGACGUGGUUACCUGCGAUAAGUCUCGGGGAGCUGGAAACACGCUUUGAUCCGGGAAUUUGGUAAUGGGGCAACCCCUAGAACGGCCGCCUGAAUCCAUAGGGCGGUGCGAGCCAACCCAGCGAACUGAAACAUCUAGUAGCNGGAGGAAA
rnacentral:rRNA from 1 species